AAAUAGAACUUUGCAGAGAGAGUUAACAGGGCGUGAAACCGUUAAUUGGCAAACGAAUCGGAGCCACGAAGUCGUUUCGUUGUUUAGUCUGGACUGGGCUCAGCCUGGGAGAGAUCCCGGGUGUAUUCCCGUGUCUGACCAAACUUUGUAAGCGUACACUGCAACCAGUUAGACGAUUGGCCAUGGAGCUAGUUACUCAAGUUAGUAGUAGUGCUCAUGUGUUUCGGCGCUUGGGUGUUGCUGGACUUGUGGUAAGUGAACUAUGGCCAAAUACUGACUGGCAAAAUGAAAAUCGCUUCUACGCGUAACAAACAACGCUGCUAGCAGUACAAUUAACUACACAUUCAGCUGCCGGGUCUAAGCUCAGCAUUUUUAAAUUCAGACCUGCUUGUUACCAGUGGGGAAACCCCUGGUGCUUGUAUGGCUUUGUCUAAUUGGAUGUUGACUUGAUCAGGUAUCGUCUGUGAUGUGCUACGAUUGGUUGAUUGUAUUAGUCAGUUGGCAAGAAUUGGCAGUGAGUAGGUCGGCUUUCCGAACGACCCGUCUUGAAACACGGACCAAGGAGUCUAAUUAGGCAUCGAGUCGAUCGGUCUUGAAUAGGCCAGACUGGAGAACUUUUUCCGAUUGAAGGCGUAGAGACAUGUGAUCGGGCGGGCAUCAACAGUCCCCAUGCGCAACAUGUGCCUGUUCGUAUGGCAAUGUGCGCAUUAGUUGCUGAGCGGAGUCAGGAGAUGCCUGAUUGGGACCCGAAAGAUGGUGAUGCUUGGGCAAAUUGAAGCCAGAGGAAACUCUGGUGGAGGAUUUAGCUGACGUGCAAAUCGAUCGUCAGACCUGAGUAUAGGGGCGAAAGACUAAUCGAACCAUC
rnacentral:rRNA from 1 species